CUAGCCAUGCCGCGUGUGUGAUGAAGGCCCUAGGGGCGUAAAGCGACUUUCGCCAGAGAUGAUAAUGACAGUAUCUGGUAAAGAAACCCCGGCUAACUCCGUGCCAGCAGCCGCGGUAAUACGGAGGGGGUUAGCGUUGUYYGGAAUUACUGGGCGUAAAGCGCACGUAGGCGGAUUAGUAAGUUAGAGGUGAAAUCCCAGCGGCUCAACCCUGGAACUGCCUUUAAUACUGCUAGUCUUGAGUUCGAGAGAGGUAAGUGGAAUUCCGAGUGUNGAG
rnacentral:rRNA from 1 species